UACGGGAGGCAGCAGUAAGGAAUAUUGGUCAAUGGACGCAAGUCUGAACCAGCCAUGCCGCGUGAAGGAUGAAGGUCCUCUGGAUUGUAAACUUCUUUUAUGUGGGACGAAAACUUCUUUUCUAAGAAGACUGACGGUACCAUAGGAAUAAGCACCGGCUAACUCCGUGCCAGCAGCCGCGGUAAUACGGAGGGUGCAAGCGUUAUCCGGAUUCACUGGGUUUAAAGGGAGCGUAGGAGGGCAGGUAAGUCAGUGGUGAAAUCUUCGAGCUUAACUCGGAAACUGCCGUUGAUACUAUCUGUCUUGAAUACCGUGGAGAUGAGCGGAAUAUGUCAUGUAGCGGUGAAAUGCUUAGAUAUGACAUAGAACACCAAUUGCGAAGGCAGCUCGUUACACGAAUAUUGACUCUGAGGCUCGAAAGCGUGGGGAUCAAACAGGAUUAGAUACCCUGGUAG
rnacentral:rRNA from 1 species